rnacentral:rRNA from 1 species
ACAAACUAGCAAUAGGGCGUUGGACUGGAAAGUGGCGAACGGGUGAGUAACACGUAGGUAACCUGCCGCGCAGAGGGGGAUAACCGCUGGAAACGGUGGCUAAUACCGCAUGGGACUGUUGAGAUGGGAGUCUUGACAGUUAAAACUCAGGUGCUGCGCGAGGGGCCUGCGUCCGAUUAGCUAGUUGGUGAGGUAAUGGCUCACCAAGGCGAUGAUCGGUAGCUGGUCUGAGAGGAUGAUCAGUCACACGGGGACUGAGACACGGUCCCGACUCCUACGGGGGGCAGCAGUGAGGAAUAUUGCACAAUGGACGCAAGUCUGAUGCAGCAACGCCGCGUGGAGGAUGACGGCCCUUGGGUUGUAAACUCCUUUUUUCAGGGAAGAGCGAGGACGGUACCUGAAGAAUAAGUCACGGCUAACUACGUGCCAGCAGCCGCGGUAAUACGUAGGUGGCAAGCGUUAUCCGGAAUUACUGGGCGUAAAGGGCACGCAGGCGGCUCUUCAAGUUCGACGUGAAAGCUCCCGGCUUAACUGGGAGAGGUCGUUGAAAACUGAGGGGCUUGAGGCAAUGAGAGGGGUGUAGAAUUCCCGGUGUAGUGGUGGAAUGCGUAGAUAUCGGGAGGAAUACCAGUGGCGAAAGCGGCACCCUAGCGUUAGCCUGACGCUCAUGUGCGAAAGCGUGGGGAGCGAACGGGAUUAGAUACCCCGGUAGUCCACGCC